rnacentral:lncRNA from 1 species
CUCAGAGGACGAGGACACGGACACUGAGGAAUACAAAAACGCAAAACCAAACAUUAAUCUUAUCACUGGUCAUUUAGAGGAACCAAUGCCAAACCCUAUAGAUGAAAUGACAGAAGAACAAAAAGAAUAUGAAGCCAUGAAACUUGUCAACAUGCUUGAUAAACUCUCCAGAGAGGAGUUGCUUAAACCAAUGGGACUAAAACCUGACGGGACAAUAACGCCUUUGGAGGAAGCGCUCAGCCAGUAUUCUGUCAUCGAAGAGACCAGCUCGGACACAGACUGAAAGCGCCGUCACCUGCUCCCUCUCAAUAUGGCUUUUAUCAGCAUCUUUUCUCUGUAGCUCCAGGGGAAUCUUCUCUAGAACGUUUAUGCCCUCGCUUUGGCUAGAAACACAUUAACUGGUUUACUCAUCGGGAAUCCAGCAUAUUUAAGAGGUAAUCCUGUGUUUUCUGCAACAUUGAGGCAUUCGU